rnacentral:misc_RNA from 1 species
GAUGAAGAACGCAGCGAAAUGCGAUAAGUAGUGUGAACUGCAGAAUUCAGUGAAUCAUCGAAUCUUUGAACGCACAUUGCGCCCCUUGGUAUUCCAUGGGGCAUGCCUGUUCGAGCGUCAUUUGUACCUUCAAGCUCUGCUUGGUGUUGGGUGUUUGUCUCGCCUCUGCGUGUAGACUCGCCUCAAAACAAUUGGCAGCCGGCGUAUUGAUUUCGGAGCGCAGUACAUCUCGCGCUUUGCACUCAUAACGACGACGUCCAAAAGUACAUUUUUACACUCUUGACCUCGGAUCAGGUAGGGAUACCCGCUGAACUUAAGCAUAUCAAUAAGCGGAGGA